GCGGUCGUGGUGAAAUUGGUAGACAUACCAUCUUGAGGGGGUGGCGCCGUUAGGCAUUACGAGUUCGAGUCUCGUCGACCGCACCA
rnacentral:tRNA from 1 species